rnacentral:rRNA from 1 species
GAUGAACGCUGGCGGCGUGCCUAAUACAUGCAAGUCGAGCGAAUGGAUUAAGAGCUUGCUCUUAUGAAGUUAGCGGCGGACGGGUGAGUAACACGUGGGUAACCUGCCCAUAAGACUGGGAUAACUCCGGGAAACCGGGGCUAAUACCGGAUAACAUUUUGAACCGCAUGGUUUGAAAUUGAAAGGCGGCUUCGGCUGUCACUUAUGGAUGGACCCGCGUCGCAUUAGCUGGUUGGUGAGGUAACGGCUCACCAAGGCAACGAUGCGUAGCCGGCCGGAGAGGGUGAUCGGCCACACUGGGACUGAGACACGGCCCAGACUCCUACGGGAGGCAGCAGUAGGGAAUCUUCCGCAAUGGACGAAAGUCUGACGGAGCAACGCCGCGUGAGUGAUGAAGGCUUUCGGGUCGUAAAACUCUGUUGUUAGGGAAGAACAAGUGCUAGUUGAAUAAGCUGGCACCUUGACGGUACCUAACCAGAAAGCCACGGCUAACUACGUGCCAGCCGCCGCCGUAA